UACGUAGGGUGCAAGCGUUGUCCGGAAUUAUUGGGCGUAAAGAGCUUGUAGGCGGUUUGUCGCGUCUGCUGUGAAAUUUCGGGGCUCAACCCCGAACUUGCAGUGGGUACGGGCAGACUAGAGUGUGGUAGGGGAGACUGGAAUUCCUGGUGUAGCGGUGAAAUGCGCAGAUAUCAGGAGGAACACCGAUGGUGAAGGCAGGUCUCUGGGCCAUAACUGACGCUGAGAAGCGAAAGCAUGGGGAGCGAACAGGAU
rnacentral:rRNA from 1 species